rnacentral:rRNA from 1 species
CAAUAGCGUAUAUUUAAGUUGUUGCAGUUAAAAAGCUCGUAGUUGGAUUUCGGGUAAGAGCGACCGGUCCGCCGUUUGGUGUGCACUGGUUGGUUUUAACUUCCUGUAGAGGACGUGCUCUGGGUUUAACGACCUGGACUCGGAGUCUACGUGGUUACUUUGAAAAAAUUAGAGUGAUCAAAGCGGGCUUACGCUUGAAUAUUUCGGCAUGGAAUAACACUAUAGGACUCCUGUCCUAUUUCGUUGGUCUCGGGACGGGAGUAAUGAUUAAGAGGAACAGUUGGGGGCAUUCGUAUUUCAUUGUCAGAGGUGAAAUUCUUGGAUUUAUGAAAGACGAACUUCUGCGAANGNAUUUGCNAAGGAUGUUUNCAUUA